GAUAAUUCUAUCGGCGGCAAAGACUGGAAACAGAUAUCCGGACGUUGAUUCGAUCCGAGAUAUGGGUGUGCGGGUCCUGUACAAUGAAACGCUGUGAACCAUGUCAGGCGGGGAACCGAGCAGCAUUAAGCGGUUUGUUUCGUGUGUUACAGUUUCGCCUGCACGCCUAUAUGUCGGAUCGAUUUUU
rnacentral:misc_RNA from 1 species